CUGCCUAGAGUCUCAGCUGAGUGUCAAAAGAUUCCAGAAAGGCAAACGUUCCAUGCCCUCAAGCUGAUGACUCUCAAGUGAACUGUACAGUAACCGAGAAGCUUGAUCCUGGAGUAGAAGAGAUGUUAUGGAGCCAAAAUCAAGCAUAGUUUUCCCUGAGUUGAGUGCAGAACCAGCAGAGUAUUUGUCAAUGUGUCCAUUACCACAGGAGGACAGAGUCCCAGAAAAAGUCCCACUUCUAAGCCCUUGAAGGCGGCUUUGAACAACUGCUGUGGUACAUACCACAUGCUCAACAGUAAUACAGGUUGACAGAUCCACCUGUCUGCUCCCCAGCGGUCCUGCUCAGCUUUUGGACAUGAGCGCUGAAGAUCCAAACUCAGGUC
rnacentral:lncRNA from 1 species